rnacentral:rRNA from 1 species
UACGAAGGGGGGCUAGCGUUGUUCGGAAUCACUGGGCGUAAAGGGCGCGUAGGCGGCUUUAUAAGUCGGGGGGUGAAAGCCUGUGGCUCAACCACAGAAUUGCCUUCGAUACUGUUAGGCUUGAGUAUGGUAGAGGUUGGUGGAACUGCGAGUGUAGAGGUGAAAUUCGUAGAUAUUCGCAAGAACACCGGUGGCGAAGGCGGCCAACUGGACCAUUACUGACGCUGAGGCGCGAAAGCGUGGGGAGCAAACAGG